GCCCGGUGAUGAAACCCGCACGCGUCUUACGCUCCGGACCGGUGCCAGAACCUGUGAAGGUUGAACCCACUGGUGCCGCCGGGGCUGCAGGGGGACGACUUGUUGGGGUGUCCAACUGUCUGAGGGCC
ensembl:snoRNA SNORD22 Small nucleolar RNA SNORD22